ACGCGGUUGUAGAGUCUUUUUAUCAAUUUCCUUUCUUCUAAAACUAAAACCUUAGAUUGGGUGUGUCUAAUUUACCAGUUAGCUCUAAUCCUGUACCUGGCUGCCUUGAUAAGUCUGCAUGCACCGAGACACAUGUCAAGAUGCUUGGAGAAAACUUUCAUGCAAUUAAACAGAUGUCAAGGGCUUUUUGGAAAAGUAAUAAAAUUCCAAUUUUUCUCCCGUCCUUUGUUUCCGUCCCUCUUCUCUAAAUAUAAUUUCUCCCAUCUCUAAAACCUCUGUAUCAGUGAGUGCUGGAGGGUGAAUCACUGAGAUUUCUUUUGAUAAUGAUUCUUGAGUUGUAAUAGUGUGAAGAGUUCGAGAACAAGACUGCAAAUGGGUGCUCUUGCUGUGGAAUUAGCGGUUGAGAGAUACAAAAUGGCUUGGUGUAGUAAUCUGAGGAAAGCUUCCAGCAAGAAAGCUAGGGACGCAAAGCUGGUAUAUACUUUGAUGUCCUUAUAUGUAUAUAUGUAUGUCAUGGCACUGUAUUUGGGAGUGUGUUGGGAUGUUGGUAAAUAGUUUGAUUGAAUUGCAUGUAUUUCUUUCUCUACUGUAUUAGAUAAUUUUCUUAUGCAUACACAUUAGAAUCUUUAGAUGUAUUUUAUAUGUUUUCGUGCCCAGUGAUUACAAAUGCAUUAAACAACAAUCAAUUGCUUAAUGUUUGUGUUUUUGACAAGUA